AAACAUGUCUUUAUGGGUGUUUAUGUAAAGUCUAGCCUGCCCAGUGAUAUAAAGUUUAACGGCCGCGGUAUAUUGACCGUGCGAAGGUAGCAUAAUAAUUAGUCUUUUAAUUGAAGACUGGAAUGAAAGGUUGAACAAGAAGUUAGCUGUCUCUAAAUUAAAUUUUGAAUUUAACAUUUAAGUGAAAAGGCUUAAAUAUUUUAAAGGGACGAUAAGACCCUAUAAAUCUUUAUACUUGAUUUUAUAGAGCAAAAUAUUAAAAUAAUUUUUGUUCAAUAGGUUUGGGUAUUUUGUUGGGGCGACAGGAGUAUAAAAUGUAACUGCUCUAAAAUGAUAGUUAGUUGAUAUUUAGUUAAGUGAUCCUUUAAUAAAGAUGUUAGUUUAAGUUACUUUAGGGAUAACAGCGUAAUUUUUUUUGAGAGUCCAUAUCGAAAAAAAAGUUUGCGACCUCGAUGUUGAAUUAAAGAUCCUUUAUGGUGCAGAAGUUGUAGAAGGAGGUCUGUUCGAC
rnacentral:rRNA from 1 species